rfam:Ophiophagus hannah scaffold1788.1, whole genome shotgun sequence.
UUGGGUUAUGGAGACAUGUAUCCCAAAACUUGGUCAGGUAUGUUGGUGGGAGCUCUUUGUGCCCUGGCUGGUGUUCUUACCAUUGCUAUGCCUGUUCCAGUCAUUGUCAACAAC